AAUCUCAUUCCAAGCGAAAUCUGCUUCGCAAGUUUUAUAUAAUACCGGAGCACCAAGAGUAAUGAAGGUUUUUUACUUGAUUUUACUUAAACAUUCAAUCUAUUUUAUAAAACUUGUAUUGUUUAAUUGGCUUCAUCAUGCAGGACGAUGUCAUAACGGAACACUGCUACGGCUGUGGUCACUGCCUUCCAGUUUGUCCCUAUGAUAAAGUUCAGCAUUUUCCAGUUCCACCUGAGAUUAUUAAGUCUUAGCUUUCUCUAAAUUAUUUAUUUAAUUCAAUAUUUUUAGCUGCUAUGAAUAUUGUUUUCGUAUAUUGAUCCAGGAGAUGUAACAUAUGUUAGGGAUGUUAUUACAACUGUUGAUCUGAUCAAGAGAAAUGAAGUUGAUGCUAUAGAGAUACAUACAAGUGGAAUUUAAUAUUAAUAUUCUAUGAAACACCUCUACAGCUUCAUCAUGCCUCUACAGCUUCAUCAUCCAGGACGAUGUCAUAACAGAAUGGUGCUACGGCUGUGGUCGCUGCCUUCCAGUUUGUCGCUAUGAUAAAAAUUCAUCUUGUAAUGCAUACUGUAUACACUGCCGCUUGCACUGGUGCAUCUUGUGUCAAGAGCAUAGUGAGAUGAAAGGAAGGCUCUCGAAAAAUAGUUUUUCACAAAUGACCAUUGCAAACCCUCCUCCCAUUUAAGAGAUGAAUUCUACUGACCGAAAGGAAAAUCCUGAGACAUCUUCGGCUAACAACAAUGGACACAUUACUUUGGAGAUGCAUAAAAAAGCUACUGUCAAUCUCGAGACAUCAAGCUUGACCCAGAUAUUGAUGUCUACAUGAAUGUGUACAUCGAGAAGCUACUGUCAAUCUUAAUAUAGUCAUUAGAUAUAAGUGGUGGGUUUAGGCUAUCUACUAUUUGUAAGAACAAUGUAAGUAUUGACUAUGAAAAAGAUGUCCUAGACUUUUCUCCUUCAAACUGUCAGGUUUAUGAUUUAAAUUCUGCUCACUAGAUUCCUUGAAUGUUGAUGUGCCUGCUCAUUUGAAAUGAUGUAAUUAUUGUUGUUGUGCUCCUUAAAACUGAGAGAAGUCAUAUGUAAAUUCGGUUUCUUUAACAA